UACGAAGGGGGCUAGCGUUGUUCGGAAUUACUGGGCGUAAAGCGCACGUAGGCGGAUUGUUAAGUCAGGGGUGAAAUCCUGGAGCUCAACUCCAGAACUGCCUUUGAUACUGGUAAGCUCGAGUCCGGGAGAGGUGAGUGGAACUGCGAGUGUAGAGGUGAAAUUCGUAGAUAUUCGCAAGAACACCAGUGGCGAAGGCGGCUCACUGGCCCGGUACUGACGCUGAGGUGCGAAAGCGUGGGGAGCAAACAGG
rnacentral:rRNA from 1 species